rnacentral:rRNA from 1 species
GACGAACGCUGGCGGCGUGCCUAACACAUGCAAGUCGAACGGGGUAAUUUCUUCGGAGAUUACUUAGUGGCGAACGGGUGAGUAACGCGUGAGAAACCUGCCUUUCAGUGGGGGACAACAGUUGGAAACGACUGCUAAUACCGCACAAUGUUAUUUGGGGGCAUCCCUGAAUAACCAAAGCUUUAUGUGCUGAAAGAUGGUCUAGCGUCUGAUUAGCUAGAGGGCGGGGUAACGGCCCACCAUGGCGACGAUCAGUAGCCGGUCUGAGAGGAGGAACGGCCACAUUGGGACUGAGAUACGGCCCAGACUCCUACGGGAGGCAGCAGUGGGGAAUAUUGGGCAAUGGGGGAAACCCUGACCCAGCAACGCCGCGUGAAGGAAGAAGGCCUUCGGGUUGUAAACUUCUUUUACCAGGGACGAAGAACGUGACGGUACCUGGAGAAAAAGCAACGGCUAACUACGUGCCAGCAGCCGCCGUAAAAC